UACGGAGGGUGCAAGCGUUGUCCGGAUUUAUUGGGUUUAAAGGGUGCGUAGGCGGUUCUUUAAGUCUGGGGUGAAAGCCCGUUGCUCAACAACGGAACUGCCCUGGAAACUGGAGGACUUGAGUCCAGACGAGGUUGGCGGAAUGGAUGCUGUAGCGGUGAAAUGCAUAGAUAGCAUCCAGAACCCCGAUUGCGUAGGCAGCUGACUAGGCUGGUACUGACACUGAGGCACGAAAGCGUGGGGAGCGAACAGG
rnacentral:rRNA from 1 species